GGUGGCUCAGUGGUAGAGUGCUUGCCUUGCAUGCAUAAGGCCCUGGGUUCGAUUCCUCAGCACCA
rfam:Dipodomys ordii contig_46220, whole genome shotgun sequence.